rnacentral:lncRNA from 1 species
CAAAUCCCAUUCAUGUAUAAUUUUAAAUCCCAUUCAUGUAUAAUUCAAAAAAAGUAUUUUUGAGAGCUAGACACUAUGCUGGAUGCUGCAGAGAUAGCAAGAGAGGGUUCAUAUUACUGCCUUCAAGAGCUUUAUAGUGGGGUGGGGGAGAGGCAGGAUGCCAAAUCAUCAAGAUGGACUGUGGAGCCUGAACGCAGGGGUCAGUUAUCUUCAAAUGUAAAUUCAGGAUUUGAGGAGACUCAAUAGAAAACAUGCCUUAGAACCAAUGGAGAGAUUGAUUCAGAACCAAUUGAGAGAUGGGCAUAGCUCUAUGAAGAAUAAGCCUCUCCACGUUCAACAAUGUAAGUGAAUUUUCUGUUGUUUUAAUCCUUUAUUAGAUAUACUUUUCUGCUCAAUCUUUGGAACAAUAAAAUAAUUAUGAGAUUC